ACCUUUCUAAACCUACUUUUCAUAAAUUCAUGCCAAGCCCGCGCCGAUGGUUUGUUGUGUUGUGUCUUGAGAAGUUGAGUGUUUGUGUGUCUCACCGUCACUGAGUUCGACGAGCACAAGUCUGAGCUGAAUGAGAGGUACUUUGUCUUUAGGCCCAUCUAGAUCUAGAUCUAGACUAGACUCUAGUACUGACUGUCGAAUGUCUCUACACUCGACUCCUACAAAUUUAUACUAGGCAUCAUGAUCAUGUCUAGGCCUAGAGUCUACAUCAAUACAUUGUUGUACUUGAAUUUUGAAGCAAGUUUAAAAUCUGUGCAAGCAAAUAGCCAAUAAAUCAAUGUGUGUUCUUCCUAAUCUACAUGUAGGGUCUAAUCUUAGUCAAAUUCAACCUUUCACAUGGGACAUCUAAUGCUAAUUUACAUGUACAUGUAUCUAAUUUCACAUUUUAUCAAGCAUGAGUAGAUUUUUAACAAAACAUGACAGGAAUUGGCCCCUACGUUCUUAUGGAGGUUCAGUGACAUCAUCUUUCCUAAUUACCCAAUAGGGUCUAGAUCUAGUAUGAAUCAACAAUAGCACUCGUUUCUUUAAUGCAAUCAAAGUAUCGUUAAUAUUUUUUUUAGAGUUUGCAAAAGCUAUUCAAAAUCAGAUUGUCUACAAUACAAAGAAUGCAAAACAUGUAAUAUCAUAGGAUUUAUUUGAUAAACAAUGAAUGAUAUUUUUUCAUUUCAUGUUCUAAUUUUAAUUCACUUUUUUCUAUUUCGUUGUGACAGAGACAGCAUGGCUGAAUAUAUGCACCAUCUCCGCCAGCUUGAUCGGAACAGAGAGUUGAUAGGCAGACCUCAGAGAGGCCUUCGUGACCCAUGAACCCUUUUGAAGUGUAUGAUGAGUCCUUUCGGACCAGGUACUGGUUUUCCAAAGAGACAGCGCUCUACCUCAUCAACUUGGUGGAUGAAGAGCUGAGGAGGACGACAGACAGAAACGACCCAAUACCUAGAUCUAUACAGGUAGUGACAGCACUACGAUUCUAUGCUGUUGGGUCAUUCCAAAAGAUGCAUGGUGAUGAGGCACAACUUUCACAGUCUUCUGUAUGCAGAGUCAUCAAAGACGUGUCAGAAGCGUUUGCAA